GACUCCCGAACGGGGCUGAGCACGUGAGCCGCUAAAACUGCGUGUGGGGGAGCUAGCUCCCCAUCUCAUCCCGUCACAUCGUGGAGGAAGGGGCGUCUGCAACAGGGGCCCUAAGGCUGGGGAAGGAGGAGAUGCCUUUUGCUUCUGGAGGACGGGUGCCAUGCUCAGAGCAGCCCAACCAUGACUCACACAUCCAAAUGAGGCUGCUGCCUUAUAAGGAGGCACUUUGAAGGCUAUUAUUCCAAGGAGCCUGCCACCUCCCGAAGCAUUUUUAGAGCUCCUGCUUUGAAUCACUACCAGUGUCAAGAUGGUGAAUCCUCACACCUCCUGGGAGCAGUUAUUUUUGGAAACAAUGAAAGUCAGGAAAGUAUCCUUGGGAACAGAGGUGGUGCUGUGCAGAGGCGAGCCUUCAGGGUUUCAAGUGCUUGGACCUCGCCCAGCUCUGGGUAAGUGGCCUGCAUAGCUGUGCUGGGGCAUCACCAGCAGCCAAAGAGGGAGGGGCUGUGGGGCUGGAGAGGCUCUUGCUUCCAACAUCCGCUCACCCUGAGAUUUCCUUUCUCUGCCUGUUCCUUUCCUUUUGCCUGGGCUCAGCCGGGUGCCGGGAAUUGAGAUGGUGUCAGGUGACAAGAGGCCACGUUCCCCGCAGCUGGCCUCCUCCUCAGGCUGUGAUGAAGGGGUCAGAAUACCUGCAACGGCCACACAACCACGAUGACCGCAGACUCCCCAGCAACCACAAUUGCAGCCACCACACCGUAGGGCCGUAUGACCAACAUCAGCAAUCGCUACGGUAAACUGCAGCAAGCACACAAGCACACAACAGCAGUCGCAACCACACCAUCUGCGCGACCACACAACACCCACACAAGCACCGUGACCUGCAGCAACCACUGCGUCAGUGGCCAUUUAUCAACUCUGUCUCAUGUUCCGACUUGAGACCCGGAAAGGGAGGUCUGCCAUGCCUCCCGAGACAGAUCAGCGGAGCCCUGGGAGGCUUCUCGGACCUUUGGGUGGGAAUGAGCCGGUGGGAACUUGGAUCAGGUGCAGUACGAGGGACGUACAAGCUGCACCCACUGCGGAAGUUCUUCAGAGGACGAUGCUGACCUUACCAGCGUGUGGUAAAACAAGGUCUGUUCACAGGUCAGGGACACAGAGUGAUCAAAACAGAGUGCCCUUCAAACAAACACUUGCAUGCAAAUAUUCAUUGCAACAUCACUUAAAAUAGUGGAAGUUACAAACGACCCAAACGUCCAUCAGCUGGCCAAUGGCUAAAGAAAACGUGGCAUAUCCAUACGUGGAGUAGUAUCCAGCCAUAAAAGAAACAGAAUAGUGCUUUGAUCUACAACACGCAUGGGCCUCGAAAACAUUAUGGUAAGUGAAAGAAGUCAGACACAAAAAGCCACAUGUGGUAUGAUCCCGUUUAUAUGAAAUGUCCACAGUCCACGGAGACAGAAAGCACAUUAGUGAUUGCCAGGGGCUGUGUGUGGGAGGAACGGACAGUGACUGGUUAAUGGGUCCAGAGUUUCCUCUCGAGGUGAUGAGAAUGUUCUGAAACUCGGUGGUGGUGAUGGUUGUACAAUCUUGUAAAAGUAUGAAAUGUCAUGGAAUUGUACACCUUAAAUGGUAGAUUUUAUGUUAUUUUACCACAGGUAUACAUGAAACCCAGAGUUCCUGCCCCUGCAUUCAAGUGAGAGGAGACAGAUGAUUAACAAAUAAAUAUAUAUUUAAGGUAAGUGCUAUGAAGACA
rnacentral:lncRNA from 1 species